rnacentral:pre_miRNA from 1 species
UGGCUACAAAAUAAAUUUUUUUGUAGCCACUUUGAGUUACGUGAUUACUAUAUUAAUUUAUAAGAUUAUAGUAACUCCUUAUUAAGUGUUUACUAUAACAUUACGGAACUAUCGUAGAUAUGUAUGUGUAUUAUCGUAAAUUAGUAUAUAAAAUUAUCGUAAAUAGAGGUGGCUACAGAAUAAAUUAUUUUAUAGCUA